rnacentral:rRNA from 1 species
AUUGAACGCUGGCGGCAUGCCUUACACAUGCAAGUCGAACGGCAGCACGGGAGCAAUCCUGGUGGCGAGUGGCGAACGGGUGAGUAAAGCAUCGGAACGUGCCCAGUCGUGGGGGAUAACGUAGCGAAAGCUACGCUAAUACCGCAUACGAUCUGUGGAUGAAAGCGGGGGACCGGAAGGCCUCGCGCGAUUGGAGCGGCCGAUGUCAGAUUAGGUAGUUGGUGAGGUAAAGGCUCACCAAGCCGACGAUCUGUAGCUGGUCUGAGAGGACGACCAGCCACACUGGGACUGAGACACGGCCCAGACUCCUACGGGAGGCAGCAGUGGGGAAUUUUGGACAAUGGGCGCAAGCCUGAUCCAGCAAUGCCGCGUGCAGGAUGAAGGCCUUCGGGUUGUAAACUGCUUUUGUACGGAGCGAAACGGCUUCCACUAAUACUGGGGGCUAAUGACGGUACCGUAAGAAUAAGCACCGGCUAACUACGUGCCAGCCGCCGCCGUAACAC